AAUGAACGCUGGCGGCAUGCCUAACACAUGCAAGUCGAACGAGACCUUCGGGUUUAGUGGCGCACGGGUGCGUAACGCGUGGGAACCUGCCCUUAGGUUCGGAAUAACUCCCCGAAAGGGGUGCUAAUACCGGAUAAUGUCUUCGGACCAAAGAUUUAUCGCCUUUGGAUGGGCCCGCGUUGGAUUAGCUAGUUGGUAGGGUAAAAGCCUACCAAGGCGACGAUCCAUAGCUGGUCUGAGAGGAUGAUCAGCCACACUGGGACUGAGACACGGCCCAGACUCCUACGGGAGGCAGCAGUGGGGAAUAUUGGACAAUGGGCGAAAGCCUGAUCCAGCAAUGCCGCGUGAGUGAUGAAGGCCUUAGGGUUGUAAAGCUCUUUUACCCGGGAUGAUAAUGACAGUACCGGGAGAAUAAGCUCCGGCUAACUCCGUG
rnacentral:rRNA from 1 species